rnacentral:rRNA from 1 species
AGAGUUUGAUCCUGGCUCAGGACGAACGCUGGCGGUGUGCUUCACACAUGCAAGUCGAGCGAAUGAAGUAGGUAGCUUGCUACUUAUGGAUUUAGCGGCGGACGGGUGAGUAAUAUAUAGGAAUCUGCCUUAGAGCGGGGAACAACAGACCGAAAGGUUUGCUAAUGCCCCAUAGGUAUGCAGUCUUCGGAUUGUAUAUUAAAGGAGUAAUCCACUCUAAGAUGAGCCUGUAUCCGAUUAGCUAGUUGGCGGGGCAAAGGCCCACCAAGGCUACGAUCGGUAGUUGGUCUGAGAGGAUGAUCAGCCACAAUGGGACUGAGACACGGCCCAUACUCCUACGGGAGGCAGCAGUGGGGAAUUUUACACAAUGGGGGAAACCCUGAUGUAGCGACACCGCGUGAACGAAGAAGCCUUUUGGGGUGUAAAGUUCUGUCGGCUGGAACGAAAAAAAUGACGGUACCAGCAAAGGAAGCAUCGGCUAACUACGUGCCAGCAGCCGCGGUAAGACGUAGGAUGCAAGCGUUGUCCGGAUUUAUUGGGCGUAAAGAGUUCGUAGGCGGUUAUUUAAGUCUGAUGUUAAAUACUGUGGCCCAACCACAGAACUGCAUUGGAUACUGGAUGACUUGAGUGCGGUAGAGGCAAGUGGAAUUCCCAGUGUAGCGGUGAAAUGCGUAGA